GGAGGAAACGGCAACAUGAAUUCAUAGAUGAUGAGUAGGAUGCCAAAGCCAGAGAUGACAGUGCUCUUGAAGAAAUGCUGGGUAGAACAAAAAGAUGAUCAUGGGAACAGCAAUGGCAGUCAUGUAAAAAUCUUUUUACCGAAGAAGCUGCUUGAAUGUCUACCAAAAUGUUCAAGUUUACCGAAAGAGAGGCACCGCUGGAACACUAAUGAGAGAUCUUGAUGCAGACGCCCUUUUGGAUUUCUUUUUAAUAAUGUGUGACCCUUCACCUUUGAUCCUUUGACCUGCAUUACUUUGGUAACCAUUUCAUUUUUUUAAUUUCAUUUCAUUUUUAAUUUUGGUGUGCAAGCUGUAACAUUUCAUCAUUUUAAACUGUAGCGUUCUUUGACUUCCCCAAAUGUCUUUUUUUUUUUUUUC